AGGAGGAGGAGGAGGAAGAGAAGGAAAAGGAGAAAAAAAGACUGGACACAAAUGCUUCAGAAUCAACAGACUGAGUGAGCCCUGAGGGUGACACUUUGGGUGAUUCCUUCUCUGUUUGUAAUUUUCCACCUUUUACUCGAGCAUGUCCUCCUUUUAUAAUUAUGAAAAUCUUGAGUUCUUGCAUUUAACCAGUGAGCAAAAGCAGUAGACAGAGGCGCUGUGGCCGGGCACCCAGUGCUCCAGGGGCCAACCGGGCGGAUUUGGCGGUGGCUGCCUGGGCCGGGCGAGGUCCCUGAGCCAGCCUCCGGGACACAGGACUCUGCUGGGGCAGAAGCCUUCAGAGAGGAGCCUAAUUUAUCUGAGCACAGCUGACGUCGCUCAGAGAAAUCCAGAAAGUGCUGAUUAAUCACGCAGUCAAGGCUAAUCCCUGGAAAGAACUCGAGUCGAGGUGACACAAAACAGUGCCCCAGGCGGGAACACGACCUCAGGCGCCGCCGCGGGGCCAAAAUCUGGGCCUCCACGUCUCGCCGCCGCCUGGAACGCUCUACGGCGCUGGCUGCGCAGGUGGCGCAUGCGCACCCCGCCGACCGGCCCCCUCCAGCCGCCGGCCCGCCACCUGCUUGGCGUCCCCAGGCUCGCGCCCGCCCCUGGCCGGUUCUUGUGAGCGUCAACUCUGUUUACUGCUUCGUGGUCGCCAACCCACGGGCACUGCUCUUAAGGUUGACUGUCACCGUGGUGGGAAGACAUUGGCCAAGAACUGUUUUCCUUGGAGAGAGCUCUCACACAGUCUGAGAGAAAAUUAGUAUUAAAGGUUGUCUGCUCUAGAGGAGAAAAAAGUAUUCAAAGGACUGUGGAGACCUGAGAUGUCAGUGGAGGCACCUGGCAGUGAACUCUAUUGCUCUUACGAAUGGCUUUAUAAGGGGCGCCUGGGUGGAUCAGUUGAUUAAGCCACCCGCUCUUGGUUUUGGCUCAGGUCAUGAUUUCACAGUUCCUGGGGUUCGAGCCCCCGCCAGGCCCCGAAAUCUUCCAAAAAGAAUCCUGGGCGAGGCCAGGCAAGCACGAGAAAGACUCGAAGCGUUCCAAGUGGGAACCUACUGGGCUCUGCUCAGAAGGAAACGCUGCAAAGAGUGCGGAGGAGCCGGGGGGGAGUGCUGGACGCCUCCUCUUGCCUUCAGAGCGUUGCCUCCUAACAGCAGAAGCUCACGCUAACUUGGCUCUGCUGUCAGUCUUGAGGGAGCCCCCAUUGGUCUCCUGCAGCGCAGUGCCCCAGCUCCCCCAGCCCGGGCUUGUCUAGUUUAUUAGGCACGUGUUAAACAGCCAGCCACGCCAGUGGGCAGGGUGUAAGAAAGUACCUGGCACCUGGAGGCGAAUGGAGCUAAAGCUGGAGUUCUGGUCCAGAUAAGGAAACUGAGGCUCAGAGGUGACUUGCCCAAGAUCGCUUAUCCCCCAAAUCAGAGUGAAAUAAUGAGGAAGGCCUCAUCUAUUUGAGACUGUAUCUACUCAAGGUUGGAUCAAAUUGAAGAACAGAGUUGUGGAAACAGCACUGGACUGGCAGCCAGAGGACUUAGGAGUUUGCUGUGUGAUUUGGGUAAGCCCUUUUAUUGGCUGGCCUUUGGCUCUCUAUGUAUAUGAUGGAAAGGUAGGGCUGGAUGUGCCUUUCAGGACCAAAACUCUGAUGACUGCACAGAAGUAUUCACUGUAAAUAGACCACACUAAAGAUCAGAGUUUCUGAUGCUCAUGACAUUUCUUAAGGCUAGGCCACUUUCACAUUUUAAAAAUACUGCAGCAUGCUUUAAAUAAGCAUACUGUGAGACCAUUAAAAAAAUCAAUAUAAACUACUUUAAACUACUUUUGUACAUCAAAAUAGAGUCUUAAGGAUUCUUAACAUUUUGACAUCUUUUCACAUUCUGAGAACUUCUUUAUUCUCUGUCCUUUCUGGCAUUUCAAAUUCUUUCAUGUAGUUUUUAAUAUAAUUUAGAGAUUAUCGUUUUUUGCAUGAAAAAUUAUAAAUACUUAAAACCUGCAUCUGUACCAUCUGCCAGGAGUUUAUAUGAAGAAUUUUGAAAAUAUAGCCGCUCAAAACUGUCAGCAUAUUGCAUUAAUCGUUAAAAAAAAAAAAUCAACCCAAUACCACACAGAUUAAACUGUCUAAAGUAAGUUUUAAUGCAACACAUUCACAGGUUUACACUCUAAAGUUGUGAAGAGAUUAUCUUUUUCAAAUUUGAUUAAGUGCUGCAAGAUGUGGAAGAAACUCAGCACUCAAAUGAAUUAUAUGUUUGAUGUCAUUUUUGGCAAAACCUCAUAAAGUGUCACAUAAAAGAAAAACAUCUUACUUAAAAUAAGGUCUUGACAGCAGUCUGGAAUAGUUAACAACUCCACUCCCAAAUGAGAAUGCUGGUUAUAAUCAAAAUUUUAAUGACGAUAUUAGUUCUCCCCUUGAGACAAUCUAAAUAUCAAAACAAAACAAAACAAAAAAUAACGUGCAUGCAUCCACACACCCCUCAUGUCUUCCUUUUUAAAGGGGGAAAAUUUGUAAUUAUUUUAGUUCAUGAUCUCAAUAUUGAGUAUAAUGUUUCCUUGCACAUUAUAAGAUUUCUGCUACGAGGCAAUGUCAAUCAGUAUGUUUUUGUUGUUUAGUAUUAAUUCAUGAGAGGUAUAAAUAAUGCCCAUCAGCAAUGGAAGUGGAGUCCCUGGGUGUCAGUGCCCUCACAUCUUCUAAACCCUAGAGCUGAAAAUGGUGGGAACCUUUUACCUUUCAAUUACAUUUAUAGUCUUUACAUCUAUCGUCCUCUAUAUCCUACUCUCUGAUAUGAGAAAAUUAAAAGGAAGAACACCCCUAAAAUCAAGUUUUCCAUUUAAGAGUUAUCAGUCAAUUUCACUUGGAAAGUCUUUUAAAAAGCAUAUUACAAACAAGAUUAUAUUAAAAACAACUAUGGAAAACAUGAUGCCACAUGUACACGUGUUUCUGGCAUGAAGAUAAAAAAAGUCCAGAAAAACAAAUAUUACACAGUUAACCAUGGUUGUCUUUGGCAGAAGUAUCAUGGGUGAUCUUUUUUAUCCUUUAUGCUUUUCUACAUUUCUGAUAUUUUUGCAAAGGAUACGUUACUUUUAUAAAUGGAAGAAAUAAUAUAGCUUUUUAAAAAAUUGACAGUUAUGGCCAAAGAUUAAUACUUACUAUCAAUUAACCUAUUUUUACUGGAUUAGGAAUGGCAUCAAUAUUAGUAACAGGAAGAUAAAGUGCAGUUACUAAAAAUAUAGUUAAAGGCUCUUGUCAAACUUCCUAUACUGGAAUUACAUCUACCAGCAGGCAGAAGUAAUGUUCAUUUAAAAACUAUUUUUUUAAGUUGAUUUAUUUAUUUUGAGAGAGAGAGAGUGUGUGAGCAGAGGAGGGGCAGAAAGAGAGGGGGAGAGAGAGAGAGAAUUGUAAGCAGGCUCUGUGCGGUCAGCACAGAACCCGAUACGGGGCUCGAACUCAUGAACCGUGAUGUUAUGACCUGAGCCAAAACCAACAGUUGGACGCUUAACUGACUGAGCCACCCAGGUGCCCCAAUAGGACAACCCAAUUUUUUUCCCAGUGAGCUCUAUGCCCACUGUGGGGCUUGAACUCAUGACCCCGAGGAUCAAGAGUCAUAUGCUCUACGGAUGAGACAGCCAGGUGCUCCUCUCAUUUAAAAACUAUUUUAAGGGGCACCUGGCUGG